UACGUAGGCAGCGAGCGUUGUUCGGAGUUACUGGGCGUAAAGGGUGUGUAGGCGGUUCUUUAAGUUUGGUGUGAAAUCUCCCGGCUUAACCGGGAGGGUGCGCCGAAUACUGAGGGACUAGAGUGCGGGAGAGGAAAGUGGAAUUCCUGGUGUAGCGGUGAAAUGCGUAGAUAUCAGGAGGAACACCGGUGGUGUAGACGGCUUUCUGGACCGUAACUGACGCUGAGACACGAAAGCGUGGGUAGCAAACAGG
rnacentral:rRNA from 1 species